AGAUUGAACGCUGGCGGCAUGCCUAACACAUGCAAGUCGAACGGCAGCACAGCAGUAGCAAUACUGUGGGUGGCGAGUGGCGGACGGGUGAGUAAUGCAUCGGGACCUACCUGAACGUGGGGGAUAACGUAGGGAAACUUACGCUAAUACCGCAUACGUCCUACGGGAGAAAGCGGGGGACCUUCGGGCCUCGCGCGGUCAGACGGACCGAUGUUCGAUUAGCUAGUUGGUAAGGUAAUGGCUUACCAAGGCGACGAUCGAUAGCUGGUCUGAGAGGAUGAUCAGCCACACUGGAACUGAGACACGGUCCAGACUCCUACGGGAGGCAGCAGUAGGGAAUUUUCCACAAUGGGCGCAAGCCUGAUGGAGCAACGCCGCGUGAGGGAUGAAGGUCUUCGGAUUGUAAACCUCUUUGGAGUGGGAAGAAUGUCCUCGGUGCUAACAGUGCUGAGGAGUGACGGUACCACUAGAACAAGACACGGCU
rnacentral:rRNA from 1 species